CUUACCUGUUAAAUGGGGAACACGAUAGCAUAUCACUUACAAUAUUCAAUUAACAUCUAUAAACCGCUUAAAAUAACUGUCAUGUAUUAAUGACGAGAAUUCGUUCUAAAAGAAAAAAGCCAUACAUUUCUGAAAUUUAAGGUGCCCCCAGUAUUCAGUACAGUAUGAUGCUGUACAGGUGUAUAACCCAGAAGCAACGGGCUGUACCAUAGAGUCCAGAUGUGUAGUGGGCUGUUCUGUCCAGUCUACUCUCUGAAGGUUGUUCUAAGGGUCUGUGAAAGCAACAAGAGGAAGUUCUUGUAGGCCGAAAAAGGAAGAAAAGAAAAAGAAACAGAGGAUGAGAGGAGUCCUCUUCUCCUUAAAACUUCCUCAAACCUGACCAUCAUAAUGACCUCCUGUAUAUACAAAUAUUCAUAUUGCACAUCAUAUUUCCAAAGAGGCUAAUUUUCAGGUCUGCUAUUGUGGUUCAAAUUUAAUCAUUCCAAAUAUGAUUUGAUAGCUGUUAAUAAAGGUGUGAUACCACCUAGAA
ensembl:lncRNA novel transcript